rnacentral:lncRNA from 1 species
AUAGCUAGUAUACUUUUAUAUAUCUAUAAUCUAUAUUUAAAAUUUAAUAUAUUAUAUUUUAAAUAAAAAUUUAAUUUUAUAUAUGUGAUAUGUGUCAGCGUUAACUAUUAAUCCCAAAAGCUAGAGCUGUUAAAUUUUAUAUAUGUGAUAUGUGUCGGAUCGUUGGCGCUAACCAUUAAUCCCAAAAACUUAGAGUUAUUAGAAAUGCGCAACCAAUUCACUUAAAGCGUAUUAGAUACAGUGCCCACGGGUCUCGAUUAGAUACAGCGCCCUCGGAUCUCGAUUGUGACUCGGCUCACCCAGCCUCACGCCAUUUCGAACUUGGCUCGGCCUAACCGAGCAUCACUCUAUUUCGAACGUGACUCUACCCACCCUANGCCCAUUUAAGCCAACAACCCCCCCUCCAGCACAUAUUUGCAGUAUGCGGGAAUUGAACCCUGACCUCUCUGAUACUACUUGUCGGAUCGUUGGCGCUAACCAUUAAUCCCAAAAGCUUGAGCUGUUAGAAAUACGCAACCAAUUCACUUAAAGCGUAUUAGAUAUAGCGCCCACGGAUUUCAAUUGUGACUCAGCCCAACCAGCCUCACGCCACUUCGAACAUGACUCGGCCCAUCCAGCCUCACGCCAUUUCGAACAUGACUCGACCCAACAAGGCCUCCCGCCACAGGGUAGCAUGCUGGCCUAUUUAAGCCAACAAUAUGAAGAGAGUACGCUUAAGAUUUUAGAUUUUCGGUAAG